CCUACGGGAGGCAGCAGUGAGGAAUAUUGGUCAAUGGGCGAGAGUCUGAACCAGCCAAGUAGCGUGAAGGAUGACUGCCCUAUGGGUUGUAAACUUCUUUUAUAUGGGAAUAAAGUGUUCCACGUGUGGGUUUUUGUAUGUACCAUAUGAAUAAGGAUCGGCUAACUCCGUGCCAGCAGCCGCGGUAAUACGGAGGAUCCGAGCGUUAUCCGGAUUUAUUGGGUUUAAAGGGAGCGUAGAUGGGUUGUUAAGUCAGUUGUGAAAGUUUGCGGCUCAACCGUAAAAUUGCAGUUGAUACUGGCAGUCUUGAGUACAGUUGAGGUAAGCGGAAUGCGUGGUGUAGCGGUGAAAUGCUUAGAUAUCACGAAGAACCCCGAUUGCGAAGGCAGCUUACUAAGCUGCGACUGACAUUGAUGCUCGAAAGUGUGGGUAUCAAACAGGAUUAGAUACCCCUGUAGUC
rnacentral:rRNA from 1 species